rnacentral:rRNA from 1 species
GCAUAUCAAUAAGCGGAGGAAAAGAAACCAACAGGGAUUGCCCCAGUAACGGCGAGUGAAGCGGCAACAGCUCAAAUUUGAAAUCUGGCCUUCGGGUCCGAGUUGUAAUUUGGAGAGGAUGCUUUUGGCGCGGCGCCGUCCGAGUUCCUUGGAACAGGACGCCAUAGAGGGUGAGAGCCCCGUACGGGCGGCCGCCUAGCCUUUGUAAAGCUCCUUCGACGAGUCGAGUAGUUUGGGAAUGCUGCUCAAAAUGGGAGGUAAAUUUCUUCUAAAGCUAAAUACCGGCCAGAGACCGAUAGCGCACAAGUAGAGUGAUCGAAAGAUGAAAAGCACUUUGAAAAGAGGGUUAAAAAGUACGUGAAAUUGUUGAAAGGGAAGCGCCUGUGACCAGACUUGCGACCCGUGGAUCAUCCGGUGUUCUUCACCGGUGCACUCCGCGGGCUGCAGGCCAGCAUCGGUUUUCCUAGGGGGAUAAAGGUCGCAGGAACGUAGCUCUUUCGGGAGUGUUAUAGCCUGUGGCGUCAUGCCUCUGGGGAGACCGAGGACCGCGCUUCGGCAAGGAUGCUGGCGUAAUGGUCACCGGCGACCCGUCUUGAAACACGGACCAAGGAGUCAAGCAUUGGGGCGAGUGUCUGGGUGCCAAACCCGCACGCGAAAUGAAAGUAAACGCAGGUGAGAGCUUCGGCGCAUCACCGACCGAUCCUGAUGUCUUCGGAUGGAUUUGAGUAAGAGCCUUACCGCUUGGACCCGAAAGAUGGUGAACUAUGCCUGUAUAGGGUGAAGCCAGAGGAAACUCUGGUGGAGGCUCGCAGCGGUUCUGACGUGCAAAUCGAUCGUCAAAUAUGGGCAUGGGGGCGAAAGACUAAUCGAAACCAUCUAGUAGCUGGUUACCGCCGAA